AGCAUAAGAUUUAAUUUACAGUGACACGUGGGCCCACGAACGACCAAAAGUAUCAAAAGCGGUAAACCUACAGUUUUUGAGGAUGCAAGUCCAACUGUAGCCCUUAACGAAAUGAGCUAUUUACCGACUAUCCUGAGCCUAAAAUGGUGGAAAGGAGGGUGAUGAGAUUAUAUAAUCCUAAUGAGUAAACAAAUACCAUCUAAAAUAUCUAAAGCUGAGUAAAUAGAGACAGAUAAAAUAGAUUAGCAUAAAAAUGAUCCACAGCAUUUCGAACUCAUUUUAAUAAGAAAAAAUAGAUUCAUUUCACCCAAAUAAACAGCGAGUCUUAUGAUUUCCUGAAAAGCUUGGCUCGUGCCAAAAUCAUUCUCAUACUCAGUUAUCAGGGAUACCUUGGCCUGGGGCUAUCCCAACCGAGUCCGUCGAGGUUGUUAAAAAGUCAUGUACGCAUAAAUCAUGUUUUUAUUUUGAAAACAUAGCUGUUCCUUGGCGUUGGCUGAGUUCACCCUCACUGGUGGUUUGGCGUGAAGUGAACUUUAAAGUUGUACCUUGGGAGUUACUCUACGUGCCUCUCCGAUCGAGGUAAGAAUAUAAAGGGAUUCCGUGCCCCUCAAAAAGGCUGGUCCACAGAACCCUCCCACUACAGCAAGCUAAACCCACCAUACAAUAAAAAUUCAACAGCAUGACAUGGCAGUUUUAUCAUUAUCCAGCCUAUCAAGGCAAACAACAGUUUAUACAUUUUCAGCAUAUUUACCAAUUUAACAAUUCAUGCCAAUAUUAUCAUAAGCCAUUCAAUUAGAACCAUAAAUUCACAAUACAUCAAAUGGUCUCCAAUUACUCUAUUUUCAAAUCCAUCAUUCAAUUUCAAGACAAUUUAUAAAAUCAUUUCAUUUAAACACAUUUUGUUUAUAAAACCUAAAAAUUAACCAUUUAAACUCAUUUUUCAUAAAAUCACAAAAUCGGAUAAAAUCCACUUUAGAUAAUUAAGAUGAUAGUAAGGUUACUCACUAUUUCGGGAGUCGAAUUCUGAGUACUCUGAUUCUUGGUCCUCGGGUACUAUCUCUUUACUUU
rnacentral:lncRNA from 1 species